UGCCAGCAGUCGCGGUUAUACCAAGAAGUUGAGUCAUACGGAUAUAUGGUGAAAAGACAGUUAAGUAUUAAAGUGUGGAAGGGUUAAUUUGAUAUAAUACAUAGAGGUAAAAUUUAAGUGUAGUUAUAUAAAUCGAAGGUAGCUUGGGAACUGAAUCUGUGAAAUCCUUGAGGGAAACUGGGAUUAGGUACCCCAUUAUUCUUGGAUGUAAAUGGAGAGAUUUUACCAGAGUACUAUGAACGUUGUAAAUUUAAAACUCAAAGAACUUGGCGGUGUUUUAGACCGCUUAGGGGAACCUGUCUCAUAAUCGACAAUCCACGUUGUACCUGACCUUUUUUUGUUUCCAGUUUGUAUACCGUUGUCGUCAGGUAACUUUUUAGAAAGUAGAAGUUGGCUAUGAAAAUAGGUGGUUUAAUACGUCAAAUCAAGGUGCAGCUAAUAAAAGGGGGAGGAUGGGUUACAAUUAUAAAGUUAUAAUUACGGAUAAUUGCAUGAAAGUGUAAGUUGUGAAGGCGGACUUAAAAGUAAAUUAAAUUAUAAAAAUAAUUUGAAUUAGGCUCUGAAACGUGUACACAUCGCCCGUCACUCU
rnacentral:rRNA from 1 species